GCAGGGGAGGUCAAACUCAGAGCUGUGCUCUGAACUGUAGACACUUGGACUAUCUCCCCUCCACAUGUGGGUCAAGGCUGGGUCAGCCUGGAAACCCGGACAGACCCUCUAGCUAGAGACUGACUUCCCUGUCAUUUGAGGGGGUUUUCCCCUCCUUCAGCCAGCUGAGCCCCAAGUGCUUCCACUUAGAGGAGAACAAAAUCCUCCCCUUCUACCCAGCUGCAGCCACCCGCAGGAGAUCAGGGGGGCCAGGGAGAGAGUAGCCCUGGCAGAUGCAGGGGGCUGGAGGUGUGGAGAGGGGAGAGCAGACAAGGGAGCGCCCCCCCAUCCCGUCACAGGCUGGCUGGCACCAUACAGUCCGAAGGGAGAGCGAGGCGGCAGGAUCCAGGGAGAGGAAAGCUGGCCAGAUGAAGUCAGCCCGGGUGUCCCUACAAGCCUGGCUGGGAACGAGCCACACCCAAAGUCUCUGGACCGGAUGGAAAAUAAUGGGGUGGUUUGACUCACGCGGUGUCAUGGCCCAGGGACUGGGAGGGGAGGAUGAGUGCACGCUCCCCAGCACGGGGGAGAAGGGAGGAAUGCCAGGCACAUGGAGUCAGAGAACAAGGACAGCUGCAGCCCUACUGGCACACCCAGCUCUGUGCCAUAGGGAGGGGGGUGAGCCCCACAGCCCCAACUGUACACUGGCUCUGUACCGGAACGGCAAAACGCAGCCCACAAUUCGGCCCUGCAGCUGCCCCCAGAGCCUCACAGUCUGGGCCCCCACCCCCUAGAUUCUGCUCCGCCACAGAGAGCACCCCACAACUCAGCCCUGCAGCUGCCCCACUUGGGCCUGCUGCCUGCCCCUCAACACACAGAGAGCGAGAGAGAGCGCGAGCGUGCCUCACAGCCCAGGUCUCCUGCCCCCUCCCCAGACCCAGCUGCAUGCCAGAGGCAGAGAGCCCCCUGCCCCAGAGUCUCCACUCCACAAGUUUCCAUAACUGUUCCCCUCAACUUCUAGCACAAACAGGGACUGUGGAUUAGGUUUGUCUCCCCAGUUAUGCCCAAGACAGCGGAUCUGCUCUCCCUCUACCCUCAAGCAGCCCCCCUUUGGGCCACAGCAGGUGACCGCCACAGGCGGUGCCAGCCCAGAAGCAAGUCAGUGCAGACUCCCCACAUUUACCUUAACUGCUUAGUCCUUGGUCUGGCAGGGAACUUGCUGCUCGCACAUACACACCAGCCGCCUGUCUCCUCCCAAACCAUCCCCACCCUCUUGCUCUGCCCUGUUCCUUCUCCCCAACUUUCAGUGUUCUUUUCUUCAUGGUCACCCUUAACCUCAUUCCGCUAAUCCUCCUACCAGCUGUCGGGGGGGGGGGGGAACACUGUCACACCCUUUCACCUUCCAAAGGGAGCCAAUUCACCACAGUCCGAGGGGAAAGCAGAGCCUCAGAGUGACUGCAGUUGGGGACCCACAGGAAAGUGGGAGAAUCUGUAUCAUGAUGAGCCGGUGACAGGGUCACCUGCUGUCCUGAAAUCAGCCAAACCCGCCGAGAUUUCCACAGCCACCUCUGACAUUCCAGGGGUGCAGCCCUCUGAGAGCUCCCAAGCUUAUUAUGGUGCCAUUGAUGGAAUGGUGCAAGACUCCAGGAUGUGGAGAGGGAGGCUAGUCUCGGGAUUAAGGCACUGGCCAGGGAUUUAGACUAUCAGAAUUCAGCUCCCUGCACUAUUGCAGAUGCCACAUGCGACCUUGGGAACAUCUGUUAGGGUUCGAUUUUUCAAAAGCCCCUAAAAGGGUUAGGCAUCCAACUGCCGUUGAUUUUCAAAUUGCUUAUCCUGUACAUACAGCACCAAGUACAACAAGGCCCCGAUCUCAGCUGGGACCUCUAGACACGACAACAACUAUAUAUUAAAAAAGUGAAAGACUUGUAAGCCAUUGCAAUCCCUAGGACGUUUGCCGGUUAAAGUAGGAAGGAAAGGAAAGAAAGGGUUAAUGGGGGGGAGGAGCUACAGAGAGGGAAGAGAAGAGGUUCCAAAAUAACCCACCUGCCACUUUGUGCAUCAAGUCAACUGUGGCCAUCCUCUCACUGUCAGGGAGGAAGGCAAGGACAAGGGGCAGCCAAUCAUGGAUAGGUGUUGGGUGUGACGGGAAUGGCUUAGAGGCCAAUGGACUCUAGCCAGCAUAGAUGUGUUGGCCAGUGGUGUGAAGACGUGUGACCCCCGACUGGUAAAGCAGUGCUGGCAGAAGCCCUUAGCUUAGGUGCAGCUAGAUUGGUAAAGCCGCGCUUUCACCAAGGUAUCUUGUUUUGUUCACGGGGCGGUUGCUACACUGAAACAAAGAGCAGCUACGUUGGGACAGCUGCAUGCAUGCCAGGAGUGCUUUGCCGGUGUACAUAGCAUAGCGGUGUACCUAUCCCAGUAAAGGGCUCUAGGGUAGACAUGGCCUCUGGCAGGAGUAAAAGGGCACUGAACCUAUUGGGGAGGGGAACCUGAACAGCAAUCUCUCCCCCCCAGAAUGCAGCAUCCCAUUGCCACUCUUCUCCUGGCUGAAUGUGGGUCUCCUUCUCCAGGGCUUCCAAACAGCUCUGUCACUGCACCUCCAUCCUGACCUGCGGCUCUCUGGUCAAGAGACCCCCCCACUCUUGCAGUUGCAGCUCAUUCCUGAUCCACUGCUCCCCCUGCUAUUCCAGGCCAGAUUCCCUUUGGACUGGAAGGAUCCAAGAACAGCCUCUCAGUCAUUACACCCUUCCGAUCCCAGCAAAAGUCAGAAGCACAGGGGCUGCCGCAAGAGAUUGAAAAACCAAUGGGCGGAAUAAAGGUUCAGAGAAGAUUUGGUCCAGAAAUGGCCAGCAUGUCUAACUGCGGUCGAACCUGGCCUCAUCCCUGCGUCCUGCUGAUACUAAAGACGGGCCCAAGCUGUAGGGGAGUCCAAAGUCCCCAGAAGGUUCAAGGAUGGGCUGUUUAGAACCAAAGCUUUGGCUCAGCCCAUGACAAAAAUGGGCCAGCUGCAGAGCAUGGAACUGAACUUGACCAAUGCGCAAAGGGUCUUGGCUCCUGGCAAGCACGUUCAAGCCUCCCCCUCAAACUCUAAUCUGGGACUUUCACUGGCAUGGGGCACAGGACUCCACAGAGCAGGGCUGAACAUGGACUGUCAGAGGAACCCAUUUUAUACAAACCACCAGGGGCCAGGACAACUGAGUUACAGACCAACCACGACUUCCCCUCAGCUUGUGCAGGAGUUAGCAUGAUGGGGCCUGUUGUGACUGGGGCCUUUGGGCAUCAGUGCCAUGUAAACACCACAACAUUAACCACCACCACCUCUCUGCACUCAGCAAGUGAACCAUGGGGUUGAUUUAUGGACCACUUAAUAAAAGGGAUUGCCUAAUGGAGGUUGUUCUGAACGCUGGUUAGCCUGUAACUUAAAAAAAAAGAGUGAAGAGGAACUGCUAGACCCAGGCAGUAGCCCUAGUAACUUUGGGGGAGGAGUAGGACACUCCAUAAGCUGAGGUUUAAAAAAAACCAAAACACUCCAUGCUCCCCCUAAUGGUUUAUAUUGCAGUAGCACCCAAGACCCUAGUCACAAACCAGACCCCAUUGUGCCAGGUGCUGUACAAACCCAGAAGAUUACUCUUUGGGGUAGGGACUUACUUUAAGAGAAAGAUGUAUACUGAUCCUCAGCCCUGCUGGAGGACCAAUCAGAAAUCCAUCUCAAUCUACAUUCAGGAGCCAAGAGGACACUCCUCGGGCUGGAUUUUCACAGGUGUUGAGCACCUGCAGCUCCCAUCAACUUCAACUGGGGCACCGUGGGUGCUCAGCACCUCCUGAAUCAGUGUCUCAGGCUGUGCUCUCAAGUACUGAGGUUCCCCCAAAUCAAGAGUUGCUGCUGAAAAUGCUGGCUUCACUAAGCUGCCAGUGAGGGGAAUCUAUUCCCUUCCACCAGGGUUAUACUUCUCUGUGCAGAGAGCAUUGCCAUCUACUAAAUAUAUCACACUGGGCUAUUUACCCUGGGCCUGCAAGCUCUCUGACCCGCUGGUUGUUUCCCUAGCCAGUCACUGUGGUGACAUUAUCUGGAUGAAUCAAGCUGUGCACAGGCUCUCUCAUGGAACGCACACAUGAGAUUUACUGGGAUGCAGAGCGAAAGCCCUGGGCCUGAGGGGAAUGGCAUCAUUACAGUCUACCAUGCUGCUGGCUAUGGUGUCUUUCCCAGGCCCGAGCACGUCUCUUGCAUCAGGGCCAUCGAUCACGUCAGUGUUUUGUCACAGGCAAAGAAGAAAAAAAUUUCUCAACCCGUCAAGAUCCAAAAGAGAGACAACAAAAAAAGGGGACGCGUGGGAGGAUGACAGGAAAAAACAGGGAACUCGGAAAGACGGCGGGAUGCAGCACUCCAGCCUUCAGUGUUUGCAGUAACCUCGGCGCUGGGCGGAAAUCAACCCAAGUGAGAGCAAAGCUGGGGCUGCGUGGGAUGGAGGAAUGUGCAGGUCUGGAAACAAGGGAGAGAGUCAGACAAAAAAAAAGACUGGGGGAAUUAGGACAGCUGCCUUUCAGCUCUCUUCUCUGCAAACAGAAGCAAGAGCACAGAGCAGCAUCUGGGGUGUAACUCUCCACCCCUCCAUGCAUGUGCAUUCACCGCUUGGCAUGAGAAACACAUUCCUUUGUGAUCUGAAUUUGGCAUUUCCAAAACAGGAUGUCCCCAUCUCUCCCCCCAUGAACAGAUCUUGUGUUGUCUUCCUUUCUCCCCAGCACACCUUCCCGUUCCCAGGCACGGCUGUGAAAUAUGCUAAUCCAGCACUUAAACCACAAUACGAAAGAGCUAAGAACAACAAGUUCUCAAAGUGAAGCGAGAAAACACCUGAUUUUGGAGUCUUGGCCUUGCUAAUGCAGCUGCCAUCCGUGCCGAUCCCCUCUGCCUUCCGUAGGCAAUGGCCAAGUCUAUUCAGCCAGCCCAGUCCCUGCCACCUUAACAUUAGCUCCCCUCCUAGGAAUCCUUGUCCAACACACUUCGCUGGUGUUAAAAAAAGCACUUUCCUUGUCUUUUCCUUCCUUUUCUCUGCUAGGACCACCAGCUACCCAGAUGCAUUGACGCUAUCCUGCCUCUUGCAAGCCUAGAUUGGAGGAUCCUCAAAAAGAGUUUGGGGGCUAGGAAAAUAAAAAAGUAUGGAGUGCAACACUCCAGGUAACAUAAGCCUGGCCUGGGAGGCUGACUAGAAUCAUCAUCAGCCACCCAGGAUUACUUUCUGACACUGCAAGGACCACAUUUCUAUUGGGAAGUUCUCUGGAGGGGCUCAGGCAGCAACCUGGUUAGCAUGGCUGCCAGGGGGGAGCAUCCCCACCCAAGGGUUACUUGGUUUUACAUGUAGACCUUAUGACCCCCUUUUAGGAGUCCAGAGAAUUGGUGAGUCCAUAUUAGAAGCAUCUCCUGUAAGUGUCUGCCUCUGGGGAACAGCUGGUUACAUACACAGUUGUUCAGGACACUAGCAUGAGAGCUUUGCAAGGACAUAUGACAAACCCAGCUAGAGUCACAGCUGUCCGGCUGGUAGCUGGACCGUGGCUGCUGAGUUCCUAAUCUACCUUUAAACUCUCCUUCACCACCAGCCCACGCUGCCCCAGCGCUAUCCUGCUGUUAGCGCUAUCAAUUAUUUAACGGCAGAAAUGCUGGAGCAAAGCUCAUGGGCAACAGGCCAGCCGCGGAAAGGAAUCCCACAGCUUUUCACGCUUCCUAAACUACUCAACCCUUCGCCCGUUCCCUCAGUUUGGAAUCUGCAUCCCACUUUGGGGGCCUGGCAAAGAGAAGGCAGUUGGAGGCUGCAGGGUGAACGUGAAUGGAUAGUCUUGUGGUUAGGGCUGGGACUCUUGAGACCUGGGCACCCCUCUCAAGUCCGCCAUUUGAUCUCUGUGUCUCAGCCCCCUUCUGCUGCAAAAUGGGGAUAUUGCUACUUCCUUGGGCUGUUUUGUCUAGUUAGACUAAACUCUUUGGGGGCAGGGACCGUUUCUUACUUGAUGUACGGCCAGCACACAACACAAUGGGGCCCCGAUCUCGGAUUGGGCCACUUGAAUACUUACAGUAAUCUGAUGGACCCUCACAACUACUGAGCCACGCAACUGCAUGGGGAAUGUAGGCCUGCGGCCUCCAAUUUGCAGGUUUAGGCCUAACUAGAUGGUAAAUUCUAACCCACCACUGAUCAAUGACAGGCAAGAUCAGGAACGGUUCCCCUCCGAUCCUCCAGAGCACAUGGGAGCUUGGGAGAAACAACUCCUGUUUCAGUUUCUGCUAACCCGCCUGGGCCAGGCCAGCCCCUUACCUUCCACCGGCGAUGUCUUCAGCCUCUUGCAGAUGUUCUGCACACCCCCGUACGAGUCAUUUAUCCUUGCAACGGCCUCACCGCUCCGAAGUUCCAUGAGGGUCCGCAGGUCGACCAGGGAGCAGCCGAAAUCCCCUUCAUGGCUGCCCUCGGUGACCGAAUUCCCAGGAUGGUGGUCGGCAGCAUUGUUCGUCAUGUUGCCAAAACAGCGGGAGUUGCAACAGACGCGUGUGGAAAAACGCUGGCUCCUAUUUGUUCACCUCCCUCCCUUGAAAGUCCCACAGGGGACAGAGACGGUCCUUGGCAGCUCUCUGGAGCCACCUUAGCUCCACGGCCCCGUAGAGGACUGGAUGGCGGAGCCUUGACAGAGAGGAGAAUCCUCACGGACGUGCCAGAGGUGGGGAAGGGGAAGCAGGUGCUUCCUUCUACAGCUUCCCAGGUGAAGCAGCGUGACUAGCUGAGCCCAACUUCUCCAGAUAAAGGUGUAAACAGGAUGUGCAUGUUACCGUGGAAGCGACCUUAGCAACAACCAGUGUGUCUCUUGGAGAAGGAGGAGGGUUCCCUGGAUACCAGCGGCAAUGGGAGCUGUAAGACAGAUUUAAAACAAAAAUACCGUCAUUAGCAAGAGGACCGAGAUGCCUGUGCCAUGGAACGGGGGACCGAGAGCCACGGUGCUAGGGAUGCACCAAUACAAGAAAUACCGGGAGGCAGCAAGGUCUAGGAAUGGAGCACUGGAGCCGGGAACCCUCAGGUUCUAAUCCCACCUCUACCCUGUUUUAGGGCAGGAUCUUAAAGGGACAUGCCCAGCCUGACAACUAGAUGGUGUAAGAAAAAGCUGCUUCAUAGCAACAACGCUUAGCACUAGUAGUCCUUUUCAAGCUGGACUGUUAGCUAGCAGAAAUGGGUCUAUUUGUAUUACUGUGAGGCGUAGGAGCCUGUCACGGCCCAGGACCCCAUGGCACUAGGUGCUGUACAAAUACAGAACAAGACAGUCUAAGCUCUGCUGACCUCAACAAAACUACGCUGCUGAACGGUAGCUGAGGAUCUGGUCCUUCAUCUCUAUCUCAAAGCACUUCAAAGUGCAUCAGCAUCACUGGCCUAACUACCCAGCAGGGAAGAUUGCGGGCCCCCCGGGUAAAUGACUUGCCAGUUGAGUCACAAAGAGGACCCAAGUGACUCUGCUCCAUCCACAGCUUUCUGGCCCAAAGCGGAGAGGAAAAGAAAUAUUUCCAUUUAUUUGUUUUAAAAACAAAGACUUCCACUGGACAAUAGCUGUUUCUUACACACCCCUCUGCAAUGCCAGGGACACCCUGAGAAUCUGGCUGUGAAACUGACUAUACAUAAAAUGUGAAAGUGACUCCACUGAUUUCUUCUCUGCCUGGAAGAGAGACAAAGCUAAAGUAGUAAACAAACAUAAAUGUGGACAAACAAAUUGGAGCUUAAAAGGC